AUGCAUGGGGUACCGAUGGGCGAGCACUUGGGGAGAAACCCUCGGCUACUCGGGGUGGUCGACAAGGCCAUGGUGCAGAUCUCGGUGAUGGUGACCAGCAAGUUGUUGGAGCGCUUCCACGGGUUCGACGAUGUGGCCGUGCUCGUCGAUGUUGGUGGCGGCACCGGUUCUACCCUAGAUAUGAUCACCUCCAGGUACAAGCAUAUCAGGGGCAUCAACUUCGACCUGCCUCAUGUCAUCUCCCUCGCGCCGUCUAUUCUCGGUGUCGAACAUAUAGCUGGAAAUAUGUUUGAUAAUGUUCCCACUGGAGAUGCCAUUUUCUUAAAGGUACUCCAUAUGUUGGAUGACAAUGACUGCAUAAAGGUUCUAAAAAAUUGCCAUCAAGCUUUGCCAGACAAGGGGCGAUUGAUCGCUGUUGAGUUUGUCUUGCCGGCUACUCCAGAGGUGACGAGGGCAGCACAAAAUCUCUACAUUCUCAAUGUGAUGAUGUUAAAUAACUCAGAGGGUGGGAAGGAGAGAACUGUGCAAGAGUUUCUGAAGCUGGCUAGGGAAUCGGGUUUCAGCGGCACCUUCCAGUCAACUUACAUUUUUGGAAACUUUUGGGCUCUCGAAUUUACCAAAUAG
rnacentral:rRNA from 1 species